rnacentral:rRNA from 1 species
GGGUUGUGAGGUUAAGCGACUAAGCGUACACGGUGGAUGCCCUGGCAGUCAGAGGCGAUGAAGGACGUGCUAAUCUGCGAAAAGCGUCGGUAAGGUGAUAUGAACCGUUAUAACCGGCGAUGUCCGAAUGGGGAAACCCAGUGUGAUUCGUCACACUAUCGUUAACUGAAUACAUAGGUUAACGAGGCGAACCGGGGGAACUGAAACAUCUAAGUACCCCGAGGAAAAGAAAUCAACCGAGAUUCCCCCAGUAGCGGCGAGCGAACGGGGAGCAGCCCAGAGUCUGAAUCAGCUUGUGUGUUAGUGGAACGGUCUGGAAAGUCCGACGGUACAGGGUGAUAGUCCCGUACACCAAAAUGCACAGGCUGUGAACUCGAAGAGUAGGGCGGGACACGUGGUAUCCUGUCUGAAUAUGGGGGGACCAUCCUCCAAGGCUAAAUACUCCUGACUGACCGAUAGUGAACCAGUACCGUGAGGAAAGGCGAAAAGAACCCCGGCGAGGGGUGAAAAAGAACCUGAAACCGUGUACGUACAAGCAGUGGGAGCACCUUCGGGUGUGACUGCGUACCUUUUGUAUAAUGGGUCAGCGACUUAUAUUCUGUAGCAAGGUUAACCGUAUAGGGGAGCCGCAGGGAAACCGAGUCUUAACUGGGCGUUAAGUUGCAGGGUAUAGACCCGAAACCCGGUGAUCUAGCCAUGGGCAGGUUGAAGGUUGGGUAACACUAACUGGAGGACCGAACCGACUAAUGUUGAAAAAUUAGCGGAUGACUUGUGGCUGGGGGUGAAAGGCCAAUCAAACCGGGAGAUAGCUGGUUCUCCCCGAAAGCUAUUUAGGUAGCGCCUCGUGAAUUCAUCUUCGGGGGUAGAGCACUGUUUCGGCUAGGGGGUCAUCCCGACUUACCAACCCGAUGCAAACUACGAAUACCGAAGAAUGUUAUCACGGGAGACACACGGCGGGUGCUAACGUCCGUCGUGAAGAGGGAAACAACCCAGACCGCCAGCUAAGGUCCCAAAGUCAUGGUUAAGUGGGAAACGAUGUGGGAAGGCACAGACAGCCAGGAUGUUGGCUUAGAAGCAGCCAUCAUUUAAAGAAAGCGUAAUAGCUCACUGGUCGAGUCGGCCUGCGCGGAAGAUGUAACGGGGCUAAACCAUGCACCGAAGCUGCGGCAGCGACACGAUGUGUUGUUGGGUAGGGGAGCGUUCUGUAAGCCUGCGAAGGUGUGCUGUGAGGCAUGCUGGAGGUAUCAGAAGUGCGAAUGCUGACAUAAGUAACGAUAAAGCGGGUGAAAAGCCCGCUCGCCGGAAGACCAAGGGUUCCUGUCCAACGUUAAUCGGGGCAGGGUGAGUCGACCCCUAAGGCGAGGCCGAAAGGCGUAGUCGAUGGGAAACAGGUUAAUAUUCCUGUACUUGGUGUUACUGCGAAGGGGGGACGGAGAAGGCUAUGUUAGCCGGGCGACGGUUGUCCCGGUUUAAGCAUGUAGGCUGGUUGUCCAGGCAAAUCCGGAUAAUCAAGGCUGAGGUGUGAUGACGAGGCACUACGGUGCUGAAGUAACAAAUGCCCUGCUUCGGAAAAGCCUCUAAGCAUCAGGUAACAUCAAAUCGUACCCCAAACCGACACAGGUGGUCAGGUAGAGAAUACCAAGGCGCUUGAGAGAACUCGGGUGAAGGAACUAGGCAAAAUGGUGCCGUAACUUCGGGAGAAGGCACGCUGGUGUGUAGGUGAAGUCCCUGCGGAUGGAGCUGAGACCAGUCGAAGAUACCAGCUGGCUGCAACUGUUUAUUAAAAACACAGCACUGUGCAAACACGAAAGUGGACGUAUACGGUGUGACGCCUGCCCGGUGCCGGAAGGUUAAUUGAUGGGGUUAUCCGUAAGGAGAAGCUCUUGAUCGAAGCCCGGUAAACGGCGGCCGUAACUAUAACGGUCCUAAGGUAGCGAAAUUCCUUGUCGGGUAAGUUCCGACCUGCACGAAUGGCGUAAUGAUGGCCAGGCUGUCUCCACCCGAGACUCAGUGAAAUUGAACUCGCUGUGAAGAUGCAGUGUACCCGCGGCAAGACGGAAAGACCCCGUGAACCUUUACUAUAGCUUGACACUGAACAUUGAGCCUUGAUGUGUAGGAUAGGUGGGAGGCUUUGAAGCGUGGACGCCAGUCUGCGUGGAGCCAACCUUGAAAUACCACCCUUUAAUGUUUGAUGUUCUAACGUUGGCCCCUGACCGGGGUUGCGGACAGUGUCUGGUGGGUAGUUUGACUGGGGCGGUCUCCUCCCAAAGCGUAACGGAGGAGCACGAAGGUUAGCUAAUCCUGGUCGGACAUCAGGAGGUUAGUGCAAUGGCAUAAGCUAGCUUGACUGCGAGCGUGACGGCGCGAGCAGGUGCGAAAGCAGGUCAUAGUGAUCCGGUGGUUCUGAAUGGAAGGGCCAUCGCUCAACGGAUAAAAGGUACUCCGGGGAUAACAGGCUGAUACCGCCCAAGAGUUCAUAUCGACGGCGGUGUUUGGCACCUCGAUGUCGGCUCAUCACAUCCUGGGGCUGAAGUAGGUCCCAAGGGUAUGGCUGUUCGCCAUUUAAAGUGGUACGCGAGCUGGGUUUAGAACGUCGUGAGACAGUUCGGUCCCUAUCUGCCGUGGGCGCUGGAGAAUUGAGGGGGGCUGCUCCUAGUACGAGAGGACCGGAGUGGACGCAUCACUGGUGUUCGGGUUGUCAUGCCAAUGGCACUGCCCGGUAGCUAAAUGCGGAAGAGAUAAGUGCUGAAAGCAUCUAAGCACGAAACUUGCCCCGAGAUGAGUUCUCCCUGAGACUUUAAGUCUCCUGAAGGAACGUUAAAGACGAUGACGUUGAUAGGCCGGGUGUGUAAGCGCAGCGAUGCGUUGAGCUAACCGGUACUAAUGAACCGUGAGGCUUAACCUUACAACGCCGAAG